rnacentral:rRNA from 2 species
UUAAGCGACUAAGCGUACACGGUGGAUGCCCUGGCAGUCAGAGGCGAUGAAGGACGUGCUAAUCUGCGAUAAGCGUCGGUAAGGUGAUAUGAACCGUUAUAACCGGCGAUUUCCGAAUGGGGAAACCCAGUGUGUUUCGACACACUAUCAUUAACUGAAUCCAUAGGUUAAUGAGGCGAACCGGGGGAACUGAAACAUCUAAGUACCCCGAGGAAAAGAAAUCAACCGAGAUUCCCCCAGUAGCGGCGAGCGAACGGGGAGGAGCCCAGAGCCUGAAUCAGUGUGUGUGUUAGUGGAAGCGUCUGGAAAGGCGCGCGAUACAGGGUGACAGCCCCGUACACAAAAAUGCACAUGCUGUGAGCUCGAUGAGUAGGGCGGGACACGUGGUAUCCUGUCUGAAUAUGGGGGGACCAUCCUCCAAGGCUAAAUACUCCUGACUGACCGAUAGUGAACCAGUACCGUGAGGGAAAGGCGAAAAGAACCCCGGCGAGGGGAGUGAAAAAGAACCUGAAACCGUGUACGUACAAGCAGUGGGAGCACGCUUAGGCGUGUGACUGCGUACCUUUUGUAUAAUGGGUCAGCGACUUAUAUUCUGUAGCAAGGUUAACCGAAUAGGGGAGCCGAAGGGAAACCGAGUCUUAACUGGGCGUUAAGUUGCAGGGUAUAGACCCGAAACCCGGUGAUCUAGCCAUGGGCAGGUUGAAGGUUGGGUAACACUAACUGGAGGACCGAACCGACUAAUGUUGAAAAAUUAGCGGAUGACUUGUGGCUGGGGGUGAAAGGCCAAUCAAACCGGGAGAUAGCUGGUUCUCCCCGAAAGCUAUUUAGGUAGCGCCUCGUGAAUUCAUCUCCGGGGGUAGAGCACUGUUUCGGCAAGGGGGUCAUCCCGACUUACCAACCCGAUGCAAACUGCGAAUACCGGAGAAUGUUAUCACGGGAGACACACGGCGGGUGCUAACGUCCGUCGUGAAGAGGGAAACAACCCAGACCGCCAGCUAAGGUCCCAAAGUCAUGGUUAAGUGGGAAACGAUGUGGGAAGGCCCAGACAGCCAGGAUGUUGGCUUAGAAGCAGCCAUCAUUUAAAGAAAGCGUAAUAGCUCACUGGUCGAGUCGGCCUGCGCGGAAGAUGUAACGGGGCUAAACCAUGCACCGAAGCUGCGGCAGCGACGCUUAUGCGUUGUUGGGUAGGGGAGCGUUCUGUAAGCCUGUGAAGGUGUACUGUGAGGUAUGCUGGAGGUAUCAGAAGUGCGAAUGCUGACAUAAGUAACGAUAAAGCGGGUGAAAAGCCCGCUCGCCGGAAGACCAAGGGUUCCUGUCCAACGUUAAUCGGGGCAGGGUGAGUCGACCCCUAAGGCGAGGCCGAAAGGCGUAGUCGAUGGGAAACAGGUUAAUAUUCCUGUACUUGGUGUUACUGCGAAGGGGGGACGGAGAAGGCUAUGUUGGCCGGGCGACGGUUGUCCCGGUUUAAGCGUGUAGGCUGGUUUUCCAGGCAAAUCCGGAAAAUCAAGGCUGAGGCGUGAUGACGAGGCACUACGGUGCUGAAGCAACAAAUGCCCUGCUUCCAGGAAAAGCCUCUAAGCAUCAGGUAACAUCAAAUCGUACCCCAAACCGACACAGGUGGUCAGGUAGAGAAUACCAAGGCGCUUGAGAGAACUCGGGUGAAGGAACUAGGCAAAAUGGUGCCGUAACUUCGGGAGAAGGCACGCUGAUAUGUAGGUGAAGUCCCUCGCGGAUGGAGCUGAAAUCAGUCGAAGAUACCAGCUGGCUGCAACUGUUUAUUAAAAACACAGCACUGUGCAAACACGAAAGUGGACGUAUACGGUGUGACGCCUGCCCGGUGCCGGAAGGUUAAUUGAUGGGGUUAGCGCAAGCGAAGCUCUUGAUCGAAGCCCCGGUAAACGGCGGCCGUAACUAUAACGGUCCUAAGGUAGCGAAAUUCCUUGUCGGGUAAGUUCCGACCUGCACGAAUGGCGUAAUGAUGGCCAGGCUGUCUCCACCCGAGACUCAGUGAAAUUGAACUCGCUGUGAAGAUGCAGUGUACCCGCGGCAAGACGGAAAGACCCCGUGAACCUUUACUAUAGCUUGACACUGAACAUUGAGCCUUGAUGUGUAGGAUAGGUGGGAGGCUUUGAAGUGUGGACGCCAGUCUGCAUGGAGCCGACCUUGAAAUACCACCCUUUAAUGUUUGAUGUUCUAACGUUGACCCGUAAUCCGGGUUGCGGACAGUGUCUGGUGGGUAGUUUGACUGGGGCGGUCUCCUCCUAAAGAGUAACGGAGGAGCACGAAGGUUGGCUAAUCCUGGUCGGACAUCAGGAGGUUAGUGCAAUGGCAUAAGCCAGCUUGACUGCGAGCGUGACGGCGCGAGCAGGUGCGAAAGCAGGUCAUAGUGAUCCGGUGGUUCUGAAUGGAAGGGCCAUCGCUCAACGGAUAAAAGGUACUCCGGGGAUAACAGGCUGAUACCGCCCAAGAGUUCAUAUCGACGGCGGUGUUUGGCACCUCGAUGUCGGCUCAUCACAUCCUGGGGCUGAAGUAGGUCCCAAGGGUAUGGCUGUUCGCCAUUUAAAGUGGUACGCGAGCUGGGUUUAGAACGUCGUGAGACAGUUCGGUCCCUAUCUGCCGUGGGCGCUGGAGAACUGAGGGGGGCUGCUCCUAGUACGAGAGGACCGGAGUGGACGCAUCACUGGUGUUCGGGUUGUCAUGCCAAUGGCACUGCCCGGUAGCUAAAUGCGGAAGAGAUAAGUGCUGAAAGCAUCUAAGCACGAAACUUGCCCCGAGAUGAGUUCUCCCUGACUCCUUGAGAGUCCUGAAGGAACGUUGAAGACGACGACGUUGAUAGGCCGGGUGUGUAAGCGCAGCGAUGCGUUGAGCUAACCGGUACUAAUGAACCGUGAGGCUUAACCUU